rnacentral:rRNA from 1 species
GAUGAACGCUGGCGGCGUGCUUAACACAUGCAAGUCGAACGAAGCACUUUAUUUGAUUUCCUUCGGGACUGAUUAUUUUGUGACUGAGUGGCGGACGGGUGAGUAACGCGUGGGUAACCUGCCUUGUACAGGGGGAUAACAGUUGGAAACGGCUGCUAAUACCGCAUAAGCGCACAGCAUCGCAUGAUGCAGUGUGAAAAACUCCGGUGGUAUAAGAUGGACCCGCGUUGGAUUAGCUAGUUGGUGAGGUAACGGCCCACCAAGGCGACGAUCCAUAGCCGACCUGAGAGGGUGACCGGCCACAUUGGGACUGAGACACGGCCCAAACUCCUACUGGAGGCAGCAGUGGGGAAUAUUGCACAAUGGGCGAAAGCCUGAUGCAGCGACGCCGCGUGAGCGAAGAAGUAUUUCGGGAUGUAAAGCUCUAUCAGCAGGGAAGAUAAUGACGGUACCUGACUAAGAAGCACCGGCUAAAUACGUG